GGAUGUGAGGGCAAUCUUGCUACAACUGUCACCCCAUUGAUGGCCAGGGUAGAUUCAGCUCAUCUGGCUGGCUAGGCAGGUGUUCCCUUCCUCCCUCACCACUCCAUGUUCAUCCCUUCCAAAGCUGUGCACUUAGUCAAAGAAGACAACCUUCCCCCAAAGAAGAGGACCAUUCUUUAGUCAAGAGUAUAUGAGUAGCUGUACUUCCCUGCUAGAACCUCUAAAUAAGCUCUCAAGGUCCGUUUGUAAGAGAAGGUAGAGUAGUCAAGCUUCCAAGAUUCCAGACACAUCCAAAUGAGGCAGUGCAUGUGACAGUCUGCUUUCU
rnacentral:snRNA from 1 species